AUGCCGCUCACGAUCAGAAAGCCUACCGCAGCACAGCUACAUGAUUUGGUGGACCGAGUUGCGGAUUGCCUUCCACUUUGGAAGGCGGCCAUGUUGCCGAAAAGUGGUAGACUAUUGCUUAUCCAAUCCGUCCUUUGUGCUAUCCCGGUGCACUCAAUGACGGCUCUUGAUCUGCCGGCAAGGACCCUGUCGGCGCUAGUCAAGAUUUGUAGAGGUUUUCUAUGGUGUGGGAAGAAGGAGGCCGGAGGCGGGAGCUGCUCCGUCGCGUGGGAUGUCGUCUGUACGCCCAAAUGGGCAGGUGGUCUCGGGCUGCCAAAUCUGCACUGUAUGAACAAGGCACUACAAGCGCGCUGGCCAUGGCUUCAGAGAAUUGACAAGGGUAGGUCGUGGGUAGAAUUCUCGAUCGUGGUACCGUCGGAAUCACGAGCGCUGAUGCAGGCGGCAGCAUGGACGACGAUUGGGGAUGGGAAAUCCACCCUCUUCUGGGAAGAUAGAUGGAUCGAGGACUUCCGGGUUGGUGAGCUUGCUCCGGCAAUCUACAAUCGAAUUUCGAAAAGAAUCAGACAAACCAAACUGGUAGGGCCCUUCUCACCCCCUACGAGUCGUCCGGCCCCAACGGUUUGGACUUGA
rnacentral:rRNA from 1 species